UCACUGGGGAAGGAUUUCUUUUGGAGUUCACACCUCUUUGAGUCUUCUCAGCGAGUCUAGGAUAAGGGUGUUCCUGGGCUGCAUCCCCAAGCUGUGAGCACUCCUGCACUCCCUGAACUCGUUCCCAUGUGUAUCUUGCAGCUAGUGAAGCUGCGGAUUGUGAAAUUCCUCAAGCAAAGCUAUAGAAAGUGCUCCUGGCCUCCACCAGCUACCUCUGGCUGUGCUGUAAGGGUGUGUGCUUUCUGUCCAAUCAGUCUGUGCUGCAUUAAGAUGAAGAGCAAGAAACCCUCCAGAAGGUUCACCUCUGUAGCCAAGGCCCUCAGGAAUUAACCAGCAAACAGCUGCCAGAACUGCAGAGGAAUUCAAUCCUGUUGUCAUUACAUGGCAUGGUACUUCUGUUCCUGAACUCUAAAGAUUUCUUUGGAACUGGAGGAACAGAUUCUUGUAGUCUCUUAAUCUUGUAUGUGACAGUGGCAUUUUGUGAUAUCCCUAUAUCUGGCUAUUUCCAGGAUUACUUUACAACCAGUUUGCCAGACUUCAGUAAAAAAUGUAAAUGGAUUACUGUGUUGUAUGUUAAGCCAGGGUGGCAAUAGUUUUGCCUUUUCCGAUGACAGCUUUCAAGGAUUGCUGGAAGGUGCUUAAUACUGAGCUCCUUGCUUGUCUUUCUUUAUGGAUCACUAUGAAAAUAACUGUAAUAACUCAGUAAUAGCUACAACAAUAAGAUUAAUUCUAUUACUCAAGGGAGUUUUGCUGGCUGUGAACAGGAAGUGCAUUAAUGCAAGGUCUCCUGGAGUUCUUGCACUUGCACCCAUUAGCACUACUUUCUGCCUAUACCCAGUUUAAAGCCAGUAAGAAUAUUCAUCACUAGUACACAAAACUUAAGAAGUUUGUAGUCAUGGCAUUUAAAAGGGCUAAAAAUCACUUUGUUCCUGUGCUGGAUGCUAAGCUUUCACAUUCAAAACUAGUAAACUCUGUCUGUGGUGUUACUAAAGUAAAACAA